AGUAGCAAAUGGGUGAGUAACACGUACCUAACCUACCUUUUGGACCGGGAUAACUAUUGGAAACAGCAGCUAAUACCGGAUAAAAUAAAAAAAUGCAUGUUUUUUUAUUAAAAGGAGCCUUUAAAGCUCCACCAAAAAAUGGGGGUGCGCAACAUUAGUUAGUUGGUAGGGUAAAGGCCUACCAAGACGAUGAUGUUUAGCGGGGCCAAGAGGCUGUACCGCCACACUGGGAUUGAGAUACGGCCCAGACUCCUACGGGAGGCAGCAGUAAGGAAUAUUCCACAAUGAGCGAAAGCUUGAUGGAGCGACACAGAGUGCAGGAUGAAGUC
rnacentral:rRNA from 1 species